ACUGACAAGGUAAAGUGCCAGUUUGAGGAAAUUCUGUGUUGAAAACUGUCAUGCAGAUGUUCUCCCCUGUGGUGAUUUAAUGAGGUCAUCAUGUACUGGAUUUAAAACUGUUAAUAUUUCAAGCCUAGAUUGGAUACUAUUUAAUUUCGUUCGAUUUGAUUCGAUUUUGCUCUGUCCCGCCGUCAAGCCGAUGAAAUUAUGCAAAAAAAAAGCCUUUUUCUUCACCAGAAGUAGGCUAUGAUGUAUCUAUGAUGAAGAAAAGUGCAUAUCUGGGCUCCCUUUCCCUAACUAACCACCAACCAACGCCCGCGGUGGUCAUUCACCCGCUGUGAAACCAGGAGAAUGAGGAGGGCUCUGUUCGAAUGGGGACUUGGAAGACGCAUGAUCAACUUGUGGAGGGUUAUAAGUCUAAGCCGGAAGCUUACUAUGACUAAUCGCUCC